rnacentral:rRNA from 1 species
AUUGAACGCUGGCGGCAGGCCUAACACAUGCAAGUCGAACGAGUGGCGGACGGGUGAGUAAUGUCUGGGAAACUGCCUGAUGGAGGGGGAUAACUACUGGAAACGGUAGCUAAUACCGCAUACCAUCGGAUGUGCCCAGAUGGGAUUAGCUUGUAGGUGGGGUAACGGCUCACCUAGGCGACGAUCCCUAUCUGGUCUGAGAGGAUGACCAGACACAUUGGAAGUGGGAAACGGCCCAGACUCCUACGUGAGGCAGCAGUGGGGAAUAUGGCACAAUGGGCGCAAGCCUGAUGCAGCCAUGCCGCGUGUAUGAAGAAGGCCUUCGGGGUGUAAAGUACUUUCAGCGGGGAGGCGUUACCCGAAGAAGAAGCACCGGCUAACUCCGUGCCAGCAGCCGCGGUAAUAC